rnacentral:rRNA from 1 species
AUUGAACGCUGGCGGCAUGCUUUACACAUGCAAGUCGAACGGUAACAGGCCUUCGGGUGCUGACGAGUGGCGAACGGGUGAGUAAUGCAUCGGAACGUGCCCAGAGGUGGGGGAUAACGCAGCGAAAGCUGUGCUAAUACCGCAUGUGAUCUGAGGAUGAAAGCGGGGGACCAGGCAGCAAUGUUUGGCCUCGCGCCUUUGGAGCGGCCGAUGUCAGAUUAGGUAGUUGGUGGGGUAAAGGCCUACCAAGCCGACGAUCUGUAGCUGGUCUGAGAGGACGACCAGCCACACUGGGACUGAGACACGGCCCAGACUCCUACGGGAGGCAGCAGUGGGGAAUUUUGGACAAUGGGCGCAAGCCUGAUCCAGCAAUGCCGCGUGCGGGAAGAAGGCCUUCGGGUUGUAAACCGCUUUUGUACGGAACGAAAAGGCUCUGGCUAAUACCUGGGGCUGAUGACGGUACCGUAAGAAUAAGCACCGGCGAACUACG